AGCGCUUUUUCCUCCUCUCCUCCCCGCCUCUUGACUGAGCCUCUGCAGCCAGACGACUCCGGAGGGGGACGAGGGAGGCGCAACGUCACAGGCGGGAGCUGACACCACAAUGCUACUGACACUAUCGCUGGGGGAGGCGAUUGGCGCGCGCCAGGUCGGGGGCGGGAGGAGGCCGCGGGUUGAGCGAGCCGAGGGAGAGCGCCACCCCCCACCCCCGCGCUCGCCGCAGCCCGCCCAGUCCUCCUCCCGGCCGCGCCCCUCCCCCGCCGCCGCUAACGCCUCUCUUUGUUGUCUAUUGCGGGACUGGCAGGCUCGGGACACUUGUAUGUACCUAUCAGCCGAGGACAAUCAUUGUCCCCAAGUCUCCUCCCUCGCCUGAUUCAGAAAACAAAACGCGCCCAACUCUGGUGCCUGGGGCCCGGCUCUAGAAGAGCGGUCCUUAGAAAGUCCCGUUAGUGGCUCCAAAGAAACCUUCCAUGGAGCCAAAGCUUCCUCUGGGAGAAGAGUCUGUAGUCCGCCCAAAACGGCGACCCGAUUACUCCGACAUGGAAAACGGGACUCCAAGUCUUGGGACGCACGGGCAGAGUGACUCCCGGCGCGGGUUGUCCACCUGCGCGGGAGGGCAAGAGACACAAAAGCACACGCCCGCCCACACUGGCACCCGCGCGCGCGCGCGCCCUCGCGUCUACAUUUCUCUCUCCUUGGGCAGCACUUCGCCCAUCUGGCCCUGAAACUGAGAAAGGGAAAGCUGGCUGCUGCGCGAGCUCGGCCAGCCGGGCUGCUGGCGACCUCUGGAAUGCAUGGCACCAGAGUCCAGCACACGCCCGGCGCCCGGGCCGAGACCCUGCGGGUUCUGACACGCGCACGAGCGCCGCGCCGCCACCGCGGGAACGCAGGCCACAGCGCCAGCAGGCGCGCACGCCUGUUCCCCUAUCCCUCCCCGCCUAGCCCCGCGGCCGGGCAUGCGCAGUGCGCGCGCGGAGCGGGCGGGCCCUUUAAGGCGGGCGGUGCGGCGCGCGCGCGCGCGCGCGCCGGUCCAGUCCGCGGCACCGCCCCGACGGGAGGAAGAGUUGGAACUAGCGUUGGGACUUCAGUGACUCCAGAAUCCAGAUUCCUGCUGACUUUCUCAAAUAGAAAUGUGCUCAUAAAAAGACAGCCAGGACUGCAAAAGGACUCAAAAUCAUCAUAUAAAAGAAAUAAUUAAAGAAACUAUUACUUUUUAGACAGAGGCUAAUUGUAUUUAUUCCUCAGAGUUGAGAAUGACAAUGAGAUUAAUAAUAAAUAAAUACAAGGUAAAAUGCCACAUAGUCAAAAAUACUCGGUAAAUAAAGUUUAAAACAGUCACAAUUGGAAAGGGAUAGUAACCGAUGGAGGAAAUUGGUAGUUUUCCAAUAUUUAAAAACUACUCAAUGGGAGGCUUAUACUCCAUAGGGCCGAACAUGGAUAGAUAUUAGGGGAAGAUGGAUACCGGAAUAGGAUAAGAACUUCCUUAAGCUUAGAGCUGCCUGCAGGCAUGGUGGGCCACCUUACUGUGCCCACAUACACACACACACACUCCGCUUAAUUGGGAGACAUCUGCCAAGGAUGUGUGCACUGGCUGGAUAGACAGGUGAAUUUGGUGAGUGGUGACAUUUUGAGUUUUCUUCAGUUGGUCUGUUGACAUUCAACUAGUCACUUAGCCUCUGAGCUUUGGUUUUGUCAUCUGUAAAGUAGGAAUAAUAGUUACUACUUAGGUAGGUAGCUCAUAUGGGCUCUUCUUUCCUGCCAGUGAGAUGUAGAUACGAUCUAGUGAAAUGUGGGUUUUCUUGUCAGUCUUCUUAUAAAGCAGUAGAAUACAGAGUGGAAAAUAUUGAAAAUUCUUUCACCUUUUUUAAUACUUUAUGUGAUCACACCUGUUCUCAUAACAUUUUUUAAAACAGCAAGAAUUGCCUUUAUGACCUAAAGAAUUAUUGUGUCUCUAUUAAACAUCACCUUAAAAGUCAAGAUGCUAAUGCAGUACAGCCACGAUAUUCUCACAAAUAACUUUGAACGAUCAUCCUCUUUAUUCUCAUGAUAAAAUUGUUUCUUUUCCAUGCAAUUUAAUUAAAACAAUAAAAAUUAUGUCACAGUGCGGUUGAAAUUUUAUCUAAUAAUAGAAUCAUUUUAUGUUCAUAAACCGUAUCUUCUACAACUUUAUUUAUUAAAAUUCUCCAGUUAUCAUUGUACUAAAAUGUGUAUGCGGCCAUAUGAAGAUUCACUGACCUUGAAAACCAAAGAAGUAGCUGUUAGUGCUUUUGGGUAAGCACAAUUAUUAGUAAACCUAGCCAAAGAGUUUAAAGUAUGAACAUGAUAAGUUCCACAUCUGAGAAUAGAAGAAAGAAAAUAGUCUGUAAAUUUCUUCAGAAAAAUUUAAGAAGCAUUAUAAAUAGAAAGUAUAUAACAAAACACAAUGAAACAUAUGAAAUCAUAAAACAACCAAAUAAAUAAAAUCAAUACC
rnacentral:lncRNA from 1 species